rnacentral:lncRNA from 1 species
ACACAUGCAUAGAGUAUUAAAUAUAAAUGAAAAUAAAAACUAAUUGCACAGUUUAGUCGAAAUUUAUGAGACAAAUCUUUUGAGCCUAGUUAGUCCAUAAUUGGACAAUAAUUAACACAAACAAACGAAAGUGCUACAGUGUCGUGAAAAAAAUUCGCCAAAGAACUAAACAAGGCAGUGCUGGAGUAGUACUUUCACCAUUUUCACCCAAGAAUCUGAUAUGGACCGGUCUUAUUUAAGGUCUGUCUCAAUACAUAAUUUCAUGACACAGUUAACAAAACUAUAAACUAGGUAACCGAGCCAUAUGAGUUUUAUGGAGAUGAAACUUCUCUCUUUAUAUGAUAAAACUCCUUCAUUUAAUGACCCUGUCAAGUCAGUAAUAUUGCUUAUAUGACAUCCUAUUUAAUGUGCAUGACACUCCCUUAAAACAUGCAUUGAGACAAGUCUAAACUCUACGUAAGGGCAGGUACAUUAGUACACUACUACUCGGGUCUUAUUUAGAUCAUAAAGUUUUUAGAUUUUAAUAUUAUAGCUUUUUUAUUUUUAUUUGAAACAUAUUGUCCAAUCAUGGAGUAACUAGACUUAAAAGAUUCGUCUCGCGAUUUACAGGUAAAUUAUGUAAUUAUUUUUUGUUUUUAUCUAUAUCUAAUGUUUUAUGCAUAUGCCGUAAUAUUUGAUGUGACAGAGAAUUUUGAAUUUUUUUUUUGUUUUUGAGGUGAACUAAACUAGGCCUGGGUCCAUGCUAAAUUAUAAAAUAUUUGACUUGUUGACUACAUAUCAAUGGUUUUGUAUGCCGUCUCAUUUAGUGCCAUGUAAGAUUUUUGUUGAUGGGGAGAAAAGAGAGAAGAAAGAACAAGGCCAUUGUUUCGCGAAGCAACCGCCGCCUCAUGAACUAAAUUUUAGAACUACGAGAUAACUAUUCUACCAUUUGUAUGAGUCAUUGUUAGGACACUCAUAAUGCAAGACUCUAUCACAGAGUCCAAGACACUUAAUUACAUAUUAUUUAUGGUAUUUUGCUGAUGUGGCAGGAUAUUUAUUGAAGAAAGAGGUAGAAAAAAUAAGACUCCAAGUCUUAUUUAGACUACAAGUCCACAUUGUUCGAGGUAAUAAAUAACUUUAGACUCUAUGAUAGAGUCUGCAUUGUGAGUGUCUUUAUAAUGUAACUUAGAACUUUACUUUUAUUUAUACCUAGUAAUAAAUUGUAAAAGUUUUAGGUCACCAUAAAAUUUUGUUCACUAUGAAAUUCUGUUCACCAAUCGACUGUAUAGGACUAUGAUUCUUUACCUAAUAUUUAAUCAUAAAAAUUUUAGUCUGCCCGCUUUUUCAGUCCGUCCAUAGUAUAUGAACACAGCCCGGCCGGGUCGAGUUCGAGCAGAAUACGGAGUCCAAUCCGUUUCCAAAAUUCAACGAUGCAACAAAUUAAUCACGGCAGCAAUGCAUCCAGCUAAUAAAAAUCUGUUGUAACAGAGAACGUGUAAAUCUUUAUCUAAUAUUUAAUCAUGAAAAUUUCAGUCUGUCCACUUUUUUGUCCGCCCAUAAAUAACAAAUUACUUAAUAUUUAAUCAUAAAAUUUCAGGCUGUCUAUUUUUUCUGUCCGCCCAUAAAUAACAAAUUAGGAAAAAAAUUACGCAAGCCCGAGAACUUGAACCUAACACCUGACGAACCAAAAUCUACCUAGAUACUAGAAAAUCAAGAACAUAAAUAAAAUCGUUCUUUACUUUUUUAAUCCUUAGCAAACAAUUAUAAGAGUUUACGUAAGUCUAGCGGCGGGAGCGUCAUGCUAGAAUGAUAGACAGGAACCUUAUGAUUAGGGUAGGGUGUCGUGGGAGGUUGGUGAGGCAGUGAUCCUGUAUGAGGUGUCAACUGCGAGUGCUAGAAGCUCAAUGGAGAGGGAGGCAUUGUAUGAGGUAGUGGACGCAAACGAGAGCACGAUUGGAGGCGGCGCCGGUAAGUAGGAAGAUUGAUCAUGC